AUUGUCGAUACCUGCUUUUCAGCGCAACAUGCGAAUGUAUUCUGGAAGAAAGGACCCGAGCUACGGACGAGUCGGGUGCUGGCCCUAGGCCAGUUGCUGCUUGUUCCGUGGCCUGAAAACAAACCCCGGCGCGAGUMGCGCAAGGAAUCUAUAAUAGAGAGUUUGCUCCGCGUGUCUGGAGACGGACCACGCGCGUAAGCACGCGAUCUCUUCAUAUUGUCAAUGAAUGAACUSGGUGUGAAUUGCAGAAUCCCGUGAACCAUCGAGUCUUUGAACGCAAGUUGCGCCCCAAGCCUUUAGGCCGAGGGCACGCCUGCCUGGGUGUCACACAUUGUCGCCUCCAAAGCCUUUGCUCUAUGCAUGGCUGGCGGAAAAUGGCCUCCCGUGCGCUCGUUCGCGUGGUUGUCCGAAAAUCAGUGCCAAGGUCUAGAGCGCCUCGACCAGCGGUGGGUGGKAUGUUCCAAUGACCCUCUUGCACGGCUGUGUGCUGCUCUGCCUUGAUUUGUGGCGCCGAUUUGAUACCCCUCAUGCGUUUACGAAUGCUAUAUGCGACCCCAGG
rnacentral:rRNA from 1 species